rnacentral:rRNA from 1 species
UACGUAGGGAGCAAGCGUUGUCCGGAUUCACUGGGUGUAAAGGGUGCGCAGGCAGACUUGUAAGUCAGGGGUGAAAUCUUACGGCUUAACCGUGAAACUGCCUUUGAUACUGCAGGUCUUGAGUUCGGGAGAGGUUGAUGGAAUUCCAGGUGUAGCGGUGAAAUGCGCAGAUAUCGGGAGGAACACCAGUAGCGAAGGCGGCUCGCUGGGCCACACCUGACGCUGAGACGCGAAAGCUAGGGGAGCGAACAGG